rnacentral:rRNA from 1 species
UACAGAGACUGCAAGCGUUAUUCGGAUUCACUGGGCGUAAAGGGUGCGCAGGCGGCCAAGUGUGUUAGGCGUGAAAGCCCGGGGCUUAACCCCGGAAUUGCACCUAAAACUACAUGGCUAGAGCAUUGGAGAGGGUAGCGGAAUUCACGGUGUAGCAGUGAAAUGCGUAGAUAUCGGAAGGAACAUCAGUGGCGAAAGCGGCUUCCUGGACCAGUACCGACGUUCAGGCACGAAAGCGUGGGGAGCAAACAGG